CAUAUGCAAGUAGUAAAGCUCCAGACCUUAAGCGAAUACCGUUAGAAAAUAAAAAUUAGAAAGUUUAAAAUUCUACAGUGAAAACAUACCCUGUGACAAUUCCAAAUACCCAUUGCAGAGUUUGUGUUUUAAAGCUAGCCAAUUGUGUACGAAAAUUUGACAUUUCGGUGUCAAUUUCCGCAGAUAGUUCACGCAACUUUAGGUCCUGUGAUGCUGUUUCGUCGUAAUGGUUUAAUCGAUCUAUAUUUAACUGUAAUCUGGCCUCUGAAGUGGAAUUAUUUAGUUGAUCACGAAACGAUGUUUUGAGUCUCUCAACGUCAGAAAAUAGCUGCUCAACCUGCGAGUGCAAAGCGACCAUUUCUUGACGCUCAAUACUUUGUAAUUCACUUCGAAGAUGAGCGAAAUCCACUUUUUGCUGGUACAUUACACGGUCUUGCUGUUCUUUAGUAACCGAAAAAUCACUAAUCUUUUCAUGCCUACAAAAGGUUAGGAUUGCACUCAAUGGGCAAAUGCUAUUGCACAUACAUGUCAGAAUACACAUUGGAAAUUAACCGCAUGAGUGUUUCAGAUUUUUUAUCAUCUAUUCCAGCUUCCUGCAAUACACGAACGAACCUCAACGAAUUAAAGCCGUGAUAUUUCCGAUAGAAGCCAUUAAGGCCUAAGGAUCGUACUUUAUGUACAGUUCUAGCUCGAAAUAAAGGUUGGAACUGAUGGUAUAUACUAUUGCAAGGAAUCUUUAGAUACAUUGGAUCUUUCAACCUGUCCUUGAGUGGGUAGUAGGUGGGAGCAGAAAUUAACGCGCAAAAGCAAUAAGUAAAAAGAAAGUUAUAUCAAGUUUUGAUCAAGGCAAGUAUAAAAAAGAAUGAAUUAAAAAUUAGACAACGUGAAUUUGUUAGUCAUUUCUCGAAGGGCUUCUGAGGUAUACCUCGCAUCGUUGCCGGCAUUGUGAAGACAAAAAGCUCGGAUGUUCAAGUGAGUGAGCAUUUUAGCAAGAGAGAUGUUGUUGGAAUUUGAAAUUUCUUUGAGGAAUAAACUUUGAAAGAAUGAGAAAACGUUCUGCGUAUCAAGAACCGUGACAUCCUUUGGAAUAGGUAUUCCAAGGACGUUUGCAUACUUUAUUUCGUUUUCCACUCCGUGUCCUACUAGAUGUAGAUUUGGUGUUUUCAAAAUUUUUUUCAGAAUACUUAUAAACGCAAUUUUUGUCACAAUCUUGGAGUCACCAAAUUGAAAGUUAUCGGCUUCAUCUGGAACAAAUCGACCGUUGCGUAGAUGUAGAAAAUUCUUAAUCCUGUAGUGGUGGUAGUCCCAUUCUCCAUUAAUUCUCAUCGUAAUCCCAGCCUCAGUUAUGAUUUUCUGGUUGAAUUCAUAUGCCUCAAAAUCAAUUACCAAAAAGUUACAACUUGGGUUGGAAACGGCUUGAAAUGCUACAAGAGCUUCACCUUUGGCUCUAAUUAAUUUCUUUUCAGCUCUUUGAAUUGCUGCACGUCGCUUCCGCUCUUUCCUUUCUGCUUUAACUUCUUCUGGCGUCAACUUGUAACGAAUCCGUUUUUGCUCAUGCCGAGAAACAUUUACAGCUUUUUUUGCUUGCAAUCUGUUCAUCUCAGAGAUAGAUCUUAAAAUAAACGGAAAGGGGAAUUCGUAUGAAAGCAAGUACUAGUGAUAACUUAGAAGAGGUAAACAAGUAGCUUCUAACUUCUCUAGCAAUGGCAUGUGUAAUUUCAAAGUAUAUACUAGCAAAUAAUCCCAAAUCCUUAUGUUGCAAAAAAUAAUUAUCGUUAAUUUACUAUGAUUACUUUUUCAAUUUAUAAAUGGAUUUUGUUUUGUUAAAUAUCAAUUAUUCUUUGUUUACAAUCAGAAAGUGUGUUUAAAAUAUAUAUUCCACUGUCAAAUAUCUUCGUUCAGUCAUUUCCAUCUAUUCAAAAAUUACAAAUAUAAGACAUAUUUCAAAUUACCUGAAAAAGGCUUCAAUUUUUAAAGCUACGUGAUUUUUUACAUCAAAAAAUAUUAUUGAAUUUAACAGGUGACUCUAUCACGGAUUUCACUUUGUUAAACAGCUUUUAGGA
rnacentral:lncRNA from 1 species